AGAGUUUGAUCAUGGCUCAGAUUGAACGCUGGCGGCAGGCCUAACACAUGCAAGUCGAACGGUAACAGGAAACAGCUUGCUGUUUCGCUGACGAGUGGCGGACGGGUGAGUAAUGUCUGGGAAACUGCCUGAUGGAGGGGGAUAACUACUGGAAACGGUAGCUAAUACCGCAUAACGUCGCAAGACCAAAGAGGGGGACCUUCGGGCCUCUUGCCAUCGGAUGUGCCCAGAUGGGAUUAGCUUGUUGGUGGGGUAACGGCUCACCAAGGCGACGAUCCCUAGCUGGUCUGAGAGGAUGACCAGCCACACUGGAACUGAGACACGGUCCAGACUCCUACGGGAGGCAGCAGUGGGGAAUAUUGCACAAUGGGCGCAAGCCUGAUGCAGCCAUGCCGCGUGUAUGAAGAAGGCCUUCGGGUUGUAAAGUACUUUCAGCGGGGAGGAAGGGAGUAAAGUUAAUACCUUUGCUCAUUGACGUUACCCGCAGAAGAAGCACCGGCUAACUCCGUGCCAGCAGCCGCGGUAAUACGGAGGGUGCAAGCGUUAAUCGGAAUUACUGGGCGUAAAGCGCACGCAGGCGGUUUGUUAAGUCAGAUGUGAAAUCCCCGGGCUCAACCUGGGAACUGCAUCUGAUACUGGCAAGCUUGAGUCUCGUAGAGGGGGGUAGAAUUCCAGGUGUAGCGGUGAAAUGCGUAGAGAUCUGGAGGAAUACCGGUGGCGAAGGCGGCCCCCUGGACGAAGACUGACGCUCAGGUGCGAAAGCGUGGGGAGCAAACAGGAUUAGAUACCCUGGUAGUCCACGCCGUAAACGAUGUCGACUUGGAGGUUGUGCCCUUGAGGCGUGGCUUCCGGAGCUAACGCGUUAAGUCGACCGCCUGGGGAGUACGGCCGCAAGGUUAAAACUCAAAUGAAUUGACGGGGGCCCGCACAAGCGGUGGAGCAUGUGGUUUAAUUCGAUGCAACGCGAAGAACCUUACCUGGUCUUGACAUCCACGGAAGUUUUCAGAGAUGAGAAUGUGCCUUCGGGAACCGUGAGACAGGUGCUGCAUGGCUGUCGUCAGCUCGUGUUGUGAAAUGUUGGGUUAAGUCCCGCAACGAGCGCAACCCUUAUCCUUUGUUGCCAGCGGUCCGGCCGGGAACUCAAAGGAGACUGCCAGUGAUAAACUGGAGGAAGGUGGGGAUGACGUCAAGUCAUCAUGGCCCUUACGACCAGGGCUACACACGUGCUACAAUGGCGCAUACAAAGAGAAGCGACCUCGCGAGAGCAAGCGGACCUCAUAAAGUGCGUCGUAGUCCGGAUUGGAGUCUGCAACUCGACUCCAUGAAGUCGGAAUCGCUAGUAAUCGUGGAUCAGAAUGCCACGGUGAAUACGUUCCCGGGCCUUGUGCACACCGCCCGUCACACCAUGGGAGUGGGUUGCAAAAGAAGUAGGUAGCUUAACCUUCGGGAGGGCGCUUACCACUUUGUGAUUCAUGACUGGGGUGAAGUCGUAACAAGGUAACCGUAGGGGAACCUGCGGUUGGAUCACCU
rnacentral:rRNA from 1 species